rnacentral:rRNA from 1 species
UUGAACGCUGGCGGCAGGCCUAACACAUGCCAGUCGAACGGUAACAGGAAGCAGCUUGCUGCUUCGCUGACGAGUGGCGGACGGGUGAGUAAUGUCUGGGAAACUGCCUGAUGGAGGGGGAUAACUACUGGAAACGGUAGCUAAUACCGCAUAACGUCGCAAGACCAAAGAGGGGGACCUUAGGGCCUCUUGCCAUCGGAUGUGCCCAGAUGGGAUUAGCUAGUAGGUGGGGUAACGGCUCACCUAGGCGACGAUCCCUAGCUGGUCUGAGAGGAUGACCAGCCACACUGGAACUGAGACACGGUCCAGACUCCUACGGGAGGCAGCAGUGGGGAAUAUUGCACAAUGGGCGCAAGCCUGAUGCAGCCAUGCCGCGUGUAUGAAGAAGGCCUUCGGGUUGUAAAGUACUUUCAGCGGGGAGGAAGGGAGUAAAGUUAAUACCUUUGCUCAUUGACGUUACCCGCAGAAGAAGCGCCGGCUAACUCCGUG